rnacentral:rRNA from 1 species
GAUGAACGCUAGCGAUAGGCUUAACACAUGCAAGUCGAGGGGCAGCAUGGUCUUAGCUUGCUAAGACUGAUGGCGACCGGCGCACGGGUGCGUAACGCGUAUGCAACUUGCCUCACAGAGGGGGAUAACCCGUCGAAAGACGGACUAAUACCGCGUACACUCCAUCUUGGGCAUCCAAGGAGGAGGAAAUGAAAUUCGCUGUGAGAUAGGCAUGCGUCCCAUUAGCUUGUUGGUGAGGUAACGGCUCACCAAGGCAACGAUGGGUAGGGGAACUGAGAGGUUGAACCCCCACACUGGUACUGAGACACGGACCAGACUCCUACGGGAGGCAGCAGUGAGGAAUAUGGGUCAAUGGGCGAGAGCCUGAACCAGCCAAGUCGCGUGAAGGAUGACUGUCUUAUGGAUUGUAAACUUCUUUUAUACGGGAAUAACAAGAGCCACGUGUGGCUCCCUGCAUGUACCGUAUGAAUAAGCAUCGGCUAACUCCGUGCCAGCAGCCGCGGUAAUACGGAGGAUGCGAGCGUUAUCCGGAUUUAUUGGGUUUAAAGGGUGCGUAGGCGGCCUGUUAAGUCAGCGGUGAAAUCUAGGAGCUUAACUCCUAAAUUGCCAUUGAAACUGGCGGGCUUGAGUGUAGAUGAGGUAGGCGGAAUGCGUGGUGUAGCGGUGGAAUGCAUAGAUAUCACGCAGAACUCCAAUUGCGAAGGCAGCUUACUAAGGUACAACUGACGCUGAAGCUCGAAAGCGUGGGUAUCAAACAGGAUUAGAUACCCUGGUAGUCCACGCCGUAAACGAUGAUUGCUGGGCGUAUGCGAUAUACAGUAUGCUCCUGCUCCAAAUCGUUCAUUUAUCCCUCUGGGGAGUACGCCCGACCCCGUGGUUCUCACUCGAAUUGAUUGGCGGCCACCCACACGGACGAACGUAGUGUGUUAAUUCAUUGAUACCCGCGGAAACAUCCUCGGCAUUGAUUUGCAUAUGAUCACUCCUGAAAAGAAGUUUUUCUUCCUUACAUCACUGUAUGUGCUGCGUGGUUGGCUUCUCCUCGUGUCGUGACGUGUCAUGUUGGGUGACAUACCGAGCGCAGCCCCUGUCUUAUGAUGACAUCCCGUGGUGCUGGUAACUCCUCAAAUACUGCUGUCGCAGAGCGUGAGGAAGGUGGUGAUGAUGACAUAUCAUCAUCGUGCUUAUUUCGAGGUGGACUCCCCUGUUACUAUGGUGAAGACUACGGCCAGCUACCUGCUCACAAGAUGCAACUCUCCUCUUCUUAUCAUUCUUCGGAUCGAAUUCUGCAUCUCGACUCCCUGCAUGUGGAUUGACUCGUUAUCUCUCAUCAGAUCAUGGCGCGGUGAAUACAUUCUCUGCCCU